UUUUUAUUUUUUUUAUUUUUUUGCCUUACCAACUCAAGAAUUUUUGAAAGAAAGAGACCGAAUUAAAAACAAAAGUUUCUAAUAUUGUUACAUUGUAAAUGGUAGUAGGUAAUUAAGACCUUAUCUAAAAGGGAAAAAAUCAUAUCACAAAUGACUCUGACUGUGAUAUGGGUAGUGUCCUAGAAUUGUCAUUCCAUAAAAAAAAAAAAAUUAUGAGAUUGUAGACUAAUAUAACACAAAAAGAGAUAGAAGGAGAAAGAGAGAGAGUAAAACAAAUCAUAGCACUACAUACAUGAUAUGAUCAUGAAACAAAAUGAGGAUAAAGAGAAGGGAAAGAAAGCCAAACCAAGUUCCUCUUUCAGAAUUUGAUGACCGCAAAAACAAUUUUGAAAGGACUUUUUACUCUUAAAGGAAAGAGAGAAUGCAGCAAAAAAAUAAUAGUAACAAUAAAUGCGAGGAUCGUAGGCACUGGUACAGUGAAAUGAUUGUUAAUGGGAACGAUAAAUGGAAUAUGAUUGGGCUUCUUUCCUUAUUACAGCCAAUUGCCAGGCUUGCUUGAUUGUGCUAGUGUUGUGUGUGCAUAAACAAAAAGAAAAAGAAAAGAAGAAACAAUCCCUCUGUUCCAAGUCAACUAAGAUAUAAUAUCAAUGGGGUUUGUUUCUCUGCAAAAUUACUAUGAUGGGUAUGAAUGCGUUGGACAAGUAGCUUCAUUAUAACUUCCCUGCGUACUAUGGUGGCUUACUAGUCAUCUUCUCAAUGAGGAGGAACGUCGCUUCUAGCCGGACGCAUACCCCUAAUAGUAGCCUCUCGUGUUUUUACCAAACCAAAAUCAAAGUACGUUAACAGCCCCACCAAUCCAACCAAUUGUGAAAACUUUUAAUAAU
rnacentral:misc_RNA from 1 species